GUCAGACUCUGGUCUCCUUCCUGCCUUUGUCUCAGUACUCUGCCCUGCAGCCAAAAUCUAACAGCUGAGGAAUAGCCUCCAGGCUGACGCUCUGAUGGCAGUGGGAUAAUAAAGGCAUGCAUGUGAAUCCAGAUAUGUUGACAGGACAACCGAUACCUAGCGAGAGCACUGGACAGUUUUGGCAUAAGGUCUCUAAACCUCUGUCUGGAACCCGACAGCCCAUGGUGUGUGCCCACUGCUGCAGCCCAC